GCCUGACUGGCUCAGUUGGUAGAGCAUGUGACUCUAGAUCUCAGAGUUGUAAGUUUGAGCUGAGCCUACUUUGGGCA
rnacentral:tRNA from 1 species